GCGAAACUGCGAAUGGCUCAUUAUAUAAGUUAUCGUUUAUUUGAUAGCACCUUACUACUUGGAUAACCGUGGUAAUUCUAGAGCUAAUACAUGCUGCGAUCCCCGACUUCGGAAGGGGUGUAUUUAUUAGAUUAAAAACCAAUGCCCCCUGGGCUCUCUGGUGAUUCAUGAUAACUUGGCGAAUCGCACGGCCUUGCGCCGGCGAUGGUUCAUUCAAAUUUCUUCCCUAUCAACUUUCGAUGUUUGGGUAGUGGCCAAACAUGGUUGCAACGGGUAACGGAGGGUUAGGGCUCGACCCCGGAGAAGGAGCCUGAGAAACGGCUACUACAUCCAAGGAAGGCAGCAGGCGCGCAAAUUACCCAAUCCCGACACGGGGAGGUAGUGACAAUAAAUACUGAUACAGGGCUCUUUCGGGUCUUGUAAUUGGAAUGAGUACAAUUUAAAUCCCUUAACGAGGAACAAUUGGAGGGCAAGUCUGGUGAGCACGCUGGCGCCAGAGAGAGCCUCGCCCCCCGUGGUGGGGGGCCAGAGGCUAGUCGAGCGCUCGUUACUGUGACGGGUGAGCGCCGGCGAGACAACCUGGAUCGGGGAAGGCUAAGGGCCCUGGAGGCCUACGCUGAUCCCGAGCAGAGCCGCCCGGGCGGCCUGUGUAGAGCGCGCAAAGGUGUCGGUCCCUGGGCCUGCGGGCCCCGGGGCUUAAGGUACGUGCCAACCCCCCGCGAAAGCGGGGCCCUGCGGACGAGCACCCGUCGUGCGAAGCCGCGGGGGGGGGGGACAGAUCCGCUGACGGGCCGCGAGCGAGCCCGUCCGCGGGGCACGUCCGCCCACGCAAGCAGGCCAGCAGCCGCGGUAAUUCCAGCUCCAAUAGCGUAUAUUAAAGUUGUUGUGGUUAAAAAGCUCGUAGUUGAACCUUGGGCCUGGCUGGCCGGUCCGCCUCACCGCGUGCACUGGUCCGGCCGGGCCUUUCCCUCUGUGGAACCCCAUGCCCUUCGCUGGGCGUGGCGGGGAGACAGGACUUUUACUUUGAAAAAAUUAGAGUGCUCCAGGCAGGCCUAUGCUCGAAUACAUUAGCAUGGAAUAAUGAAAUAGGACGCGCGGUUCUAUUUUGUUGGUUUCUAGGACCGCCGUAAUGAUUAAUAGGGACAGUCGGGGGCAUCAGUAUUCAAUUGUCAGAGGUGAAAUUCUUGGAUUUAUUGAAGACUCACUACUGCGAAAGCAUUUGCCAAGGAUGUUUUCAUUAAUCAGGAACGAAAGUUAGGGGAUCGAAGACGAUCAGAUACCGUCGUAGUCUUAACCAUAAACUAUGCCGACUAGGGAUUGGACGAUGUUGAUUUUUGACUCGUUCAGCACCUUACGAGAAAUCAAAGUGC
rnacentral:rRNA from 1 species